rnacentral:rRNA from 1 species
AACGAUGAAGCUGUGCUUGCACAGUGGAUUAGUGGCGAACGGGUGAGUAACACGUGAGUAACCUGCCCUCCACUUUGGGAUAACUCCGAGAAAUCGGGGCUAAUACUGGAUAUGACCUUGGCCCGCAUGGGUUUUGGUGGAAAGUUUUUCGGUGGGGGAUGGGCUCGCGGCCUAUCAGUUUGUUGGUGAGGUAGUGGCUCACCAAGGCGAUGACGGGUAGCCGGCCUGAGAGGGCGACCGGCCACACUGGGACUGAGACACGGCCCAGACUCCUACGGGAGGCAGCAGUGGGGAAUAUUGCACAAUGGGCGAAAGCCUGAUGCAGCGACGCCGCGUGGGGGAUGACGGCCUUCGGGUUGUAAACCUCUUUCAGCAAGGAAGAAGCGAAAGUGACGGUACUUGCAGAAGAAGCGCCGGCUAACUACGUGCCAGCAGCCGCGGUAAUACGUAGGGCGCAAGCGUUGUCCGGAAUUAUUGGGCGUAAAGGGCUUGUAGGUGGCUUGUCGCGUCUGCCGUGAAAACUCGAGGCUUAACCUUGGGCGUGCGGUGGGUACGGGCAGGCUAGAGUGCGGUAGGGGAGACUGGAAUUCCUGGUGUAGCGGUGAAAUGCGCAGAUAUCAGGAGGAACACCGAUGGCGAAGGCAGGUCUCUGGGCCGUUACUGACACUGAGAAGCGAAAGCAUGGGGAGCGAACAGGAUUAGAUACCCUGGU